GGGCCACCGUCCUCCCGCUCAGCACCUGGCCCGUCUUGAGCCUGCUGACCCCCAGGCGUGUCAGGGAGCCCAGGCUGUCCACUCCGUGCCCUCAGGGCGUCCAGGGACACGGUCAGCCCGUCGGUGCUCCCAGGCCAGCCUCGCCACUGCAGCAGGAAGCAUGGCCCGGCAGGCUGCGGCAGUGGCCCUCAGUCUCCGCUGCCCGGGGCUGUCCCUGCAUCCCCUUUGCUCUGGGGGAGAGGCUUCGCAGAUGUCGCGUCCCUGGUUAACAUAUCACCCCAUGUUUUCUGGGCCCCGUGGACACAUGAGAAAUACAGACUAUCUGGAGGUCCCCGUGUCUGUGCUGAGCCACUCGACUCUUGCUCCAGGACUGUUUCUGACACUGACGGUGAUGUGUCCAGCUUGUUCCUGUCACCUGACGUCAGUGCUGACGCUGCUCCAGCGUUUCUCCUCCCCAGGCUCAGGGAGGCUGAGAUAAGCAUGGAAACCAGGGAACGAGACAGGAACCUCCAUGGAGGCCCCUCUGCCCAGCGAGAACCCUCUCGGCCUGAGUAGUCUUCCAGGUCGUGUGGAGAAUCCCGCCCCACCCUUCUCAACAGUGCCGGCCCACAGAAAAUACCAAUAAACGCCUCAGUAAUCCAAGAG